UGUCCUGCCCUGUCAUCCAGGAUAGAGUGCCAUGGCGUGAUCAUGGCUUACUGCAGCUUCAACCUUCUGGGCUCAAGCCAUCCUCCUUCCUCAGCCUCCCAAGUAGCUGGGACCACAGGUGCACACCAUCACACCUGGCUAAUUUUUAAAUUUUUGUAGAGAUGGGGGUCUCGCUAUGUUGCCCAGGCUGGUCUCAAACUCCUGGCCUCAAGCGAUUCUCCCACCUCAGCCUCCCAAAGGGCUGGGAUUACAGGUGUGAGCCACCACACCUGGCCUGUGAUUGCUUUUCUUAACAUGGUACUCUGCCAUUAUAUUCUCUAUUAGGAAUUUGAUAUGCUCAGAAGAUAUAGUGAAUUAUAGUUGCCUGUUUACUAACAUCGGGGUCCUUUCAGGUAGUGUCCACCACAGGAAACAUUACUAUUUGGGUUUUGUGACCCAGGAAUCCAUAUUUACCUGGCGGCAACGACACAGCCCUCACCUUUCCAGACCUCAUCUGGUGGCCUUGUAAUCCUGGAGCUGAAGCUGCCUACACACAAGCAAUCGGUCGCAGUGUAUCCGUGCAGGGUCCCAACCCACUCCAGGAUUCAUUUCGGGAUGGCUUCCCCUCCCUCAGCCAGCAUUAGGAAGAGGCCGGGUGCCGUGGCUCACACCUGUAGUGCCAGCGCUUUGGAAGGCUAAGAUGGGCAGACUGCUUGAACUCAGGAGUUUGAGACCAGCCUGGGCAAUGUGUCAAGACCCCAUCUCUACAAGAAAUUUUAAAAUUAGCCAGGCAUUGUGGUAGGUGUCUGUGGUUCCAGCUACUCAGGAGGCUGAGGCAGGAGGAUUGCUUGAGCCUGAGAAGUUGAGGCUACAGGGAGCUGUGAUCUCACCACUGCACUCCAGCCUGGGCAACAGAGUGAGACCCUGUCUCAAUCAAUCAAUCAAUCAAGAAAUAUUAGGAGGAGAAUUUGUUGAUGUCUCUUUUCUGUCAUAAGCUCGGCUCUCCAAGAGCCUUUUCUUCCCAGGAGGACAUGCUGGUGUUUCAUGAAUCUAGGACUUCUUGCCUGAAGCUUGUAAAGUGCUAGAUGGAAUGAAAACAGCAGCAGUAAGAGCAGGCUCUUAUGCAACCUUGCUACACACAAGGCAUUGCUCUAAGUGCUUUGCAGGGGUUAAGAGAUGCAGCUGAGUAGCUGAGGACAGUCUAGGGGUGGGGUUUCCAGAGGCUGUCAGGGGAGUGGCCCCCAGUCUCCCUGGUGGAAUCCCUGACCAUUAAUCACACACAUAAGUUUCACUCCACAAACAUGGGUUGUAAAAACAUUACAAUCUAGCCAGGCGCAGUGACUCAUGCCUAUCAUACCAGUACUUUGGAAGGCCGAGGCAGGAGGAUUGCUUGAGGAGUUCCCGACCCGCCUGGGCAACGUAGCAAGACCCCCAUCCUACCAAAAAAAAAAAAAAAAAAAGGCAGGGUGUGUUGGUGUGCACCUAUAGUCCCAGCUACUUGGGAGGCUGAGGCAGGGAGAUUGCUUGAGCCCAGAAGUUCAAGGCUGUGGUGAGCUAUGAUUAUACUACUGCACUCCAGCCUGAGCAACAGAACAAGACUCUGUUUUUUUUUUAAGCCAUAAUCCAUUAUUUUUUUCUAAAUUAAAUGGAAUGUGUUGUGAACCACAAUCAUUUAUUUUAUUUACUUAUUUAUUUUUGAGACGGAGUCUUGCUCUGGCGUCCAGGCUGGAGUGCAGUGGUGUGAUCUCGUCUCACUGUAACCUCUGCCUCCUGGGUUCAAGCAAUUCUCCUGUCUCAGCCUCCUGAGUAGCUGGGAUUACAGCUGUGCACCACCACACCUAAUUUUUGUAUUUUUAGUAGAGAUGGAGUUUCAUCACGUUGUCCAGGCUGGUCUCGAACUCCUGGCCUCAAGCGAUCCACCUGCCUCAGCCUCCCAAAAUGCUAGGAUUACAGGCGUGAGCCACCAUGCUUGGACCUAGCCACAAUUAUUUAAUACCAGGGCUCCCUGCCAUUGCUCCCCAGAGCUGGGAGAAGGUCUCAGGAGCAUAUUGGGUCAGGUAUGUGUGGAAAGGCCCUCCAGGCUCAAAUCCACACUGGGCCUGCUCUGUGCCCUGACUCCAAGCUCCAGGAGCCCUCAAAGGUGGCAGCUCCACUGCUCAUGAGCCAAGCUUAGGGACCGGGGCCCUUCCUAGCAGCCAGAAAGAGCCUUAUUCUUAGUUGUUUUUUUUUUUUUUUUUUUUUUUUUUUGUAGAGACAGAGUCUGGCUCUGUUGCUCAGGCCAGAGUGCAGUGGUUCGAUCAUAGCUCACUGCAACCUCAAACUCCUGGGUACAAACAAUCCUCCUACCUCAGCCUCCUGAGUAGCUGGGACUACAAGCGUGCACCAUCACACCUGGCUAAUUUUUAUAUUUUUAAUUUUUAAUUUUCUGUAAAGACAGGGUCUUGCUAUGUUGCCCAGGCUGGUCUCAAACUCCUGGCCUCAAGCGAUUCUUCUGCCUCGGCCUCCCAAAGUGCUGUGAUUACAGGCAUGACCCACUGUGCCUGGUUCUGUUUUUAGUACCAAGGGCCCUCAUACCCCCUGUCUCUUCUUGGGACUCUGCCAAGUCCCAGGCUCCUUCUCAGCCUUGGGGACGGUACCCAGAUCAGCACCUCCACUUCCAUCUCCCCACCUCACCCCAAACCCUUCCCUCUGGCAUCUAGAGCCAUCCUAAAGUUUCUCUUCUUGAGUCUAGCCCUCCUGGGUAUGCUUGGGGACUGAAAUGCUCAAACUGGCCUCACCUCUUGACACUGUAAUUGUUCCUUAUCUCCCAUUAAACAGGAAUCCUGCUUUGUGUAGUUCAGUGCCUGCUGCCAAGUCAGAGCUGUGACCUCAAUGAAAGUGGCCCAGCCACAGCAAACCUCAGUUUCCAUAACAGUCCUGGGAUCCAAUGUGGCUUUCACACUACAUGUCACUUCACUCUGUUAUCUCUGACAGAAAACCAACUCAAACUGGCUUAAGCAAAAAGGGUACUCACUGGGCCAUGUAACCAAAAAGUGUAGGCAUACAUGUGGCUUCAGGAAUGGCUGGAUCCAGGCACUCACAUGUGGCAUCGGGAGUCCCUCUCCUGGCUGUUGGUUUCAGUUUUCUCUGCAGGGGUUUCAUUCAAGCACUGGUUCCCUCCUCAUAGUGGCAAGGUGGCUGCCCAGGACAAGAGGCUUAUAGCCACGGGCUCAGCUACUUAAGGAUAAGUUCCAUCAGAAGCCCAAGUUGAGGCCGGGCUUGGUGCUCACACCUGUAAUCCCAGCACUUUGGGUGGCCGAGGUGGGUGGAUCACUUGAGGUCAGGAGUUCGAGACCAGCCUGGCCAACACAGUGAAACCCUGUCUCUACUUAAAAAAAAACAAAACAAAACAAAAAAAAAAACCAUGAAAAUUAGCUGGGUGUGGUGGCACGUGCCUGUAAUCCCAGCUACUUGCAAGGCUGAGGCAGGAGAAUCACUUGAACCUGGCAGGCGGAAGUUGCAGUGAGACGAGAUCACGUCAUUGUACUCCAGUCUGGGCAACAGAACGAGACUUCGUUGGCAAUGACUGGGUCAUCUGUCCAGUCCUGAACCGGUCACUGUGUCAGGUAGAAGCAUUGUUUGAUUGGCCAGGCCUGGGACACACGGCCAUCUCCAGACCUAGGAAUGGCAUCAUCUCUACCCAAACCCCGUGAACCAAGAGUUGGGGAGGAGCAAAGCUUCAGAGAAAACUCUGGGCCCUGUCAUCAAGCAGAGGAGGAAAGGAGGCCACACAGACUGAGACAUCAAGUACCCACUGUGCCCUCACCACCAGCUCCCGCCCUGGCCAGUGCACUCCUGGACCAUCUCUCCUCCCCGUCUUGUUCACAGUCACCCUCUCACCCCAGCAGAGAUCAGGCCAGGGUACUGGUGGCAAGUGAGUGAAGGGUUUCAGCAAGGGGGUCCCCACCUUCCAGGCACAGUGUAAGUGGACCCCCCACACUUGGGGGCUCUCCUGGGUUGCACAGUGUCCUCUGAAAAUUCACAUCCACCUGGAACCUGCAAAUAUGACCUUAUUUGGAAAUGGAGUCUUUGCAGAUGUUGUCAAGAUAAGAUGAAGUCAUACUGUUUUAGGAUGGGCCCUCUAUAUGGCACGACUGGGGUUCUUAUACGAAGAGGGACCCUGGCACACAGAUGCAUACAGGGAGAGUGCUGUGUGAUGAGAAAGGCAGAGAUUGCAGUGAUGCUGCCACCAGCCAAGGAGUCACCAUCAGCCAGGAGAUGGGCAUGGAUCUGAUUCUCCCUGGGAACCUCCAGAAGGAGCCAACCCUGCCAACACCUUGGUUUUGGACUUCUGUUCCCCGCAACUGUGAGACAAUACAUUCUGUGGUUUUAAGCUUUAUGAUAAUUUGUUACUGUAGCCCUGGGAAAGGAAUACAAGGGUAGACAGACACUGAUCAAGUAAGCAAACAAAUGUGAAAUUGCCCUGUGACAAGGGAGGUGCGGGGUGCCUGUGUUGGGGAAGAAUUCUCUGAGACUUGAAGUCAGAGAAGGAGUUAGCUAAUGGGGCCGACAGGGUUCUGCACACGCAGCUCACGGCCCAGAUCUUGUUGGCCAAGUGUUUUUGCAGGGAUUAGGAACUAAGAAUGGUUUUGCAAGAAGAACAUCACAGGCUGAGGGGACAGCAUGGGCAAAGGCCAUGAAGUGGGAGGCGCCCUCUGUGAAACCAACAAGCUUUCAGCCACGUGGGUCUCUCUGACGCGUUGCCUCAGCCACAGAGGGCUUUAAAAAGCCCCGAAACUGGACAGGUGUCACUGCCUGUGGCAGUAGCGGCCAUUUGGCGCCUGUGGUUUCAACUCCACCCGUUUCACAUGUCUAUGUUACCAGACUGGCCCCUGAAGGGGAUCUGUGUGCCAGGCCCUGACCUGCCGGGCUUUGGAAACAUCCUCGACAGUGUCCCCUGACCUGCGCCCCGCCUUGUGGAGUGAGGCCUGGUUGCCCAAGCUGGCUGGGCCGGGCUGUUUGUUGCUUCCAACAAACAUAGGAGAGAACGUAUGGCUGCUUUUUAUUGCCAGUGAGAGUUCCGCGAGGCCUGGCCCGAGAUGUGGCUGGCGUGAGGGGUCCCGGACCUGCUGUGCUGGGGACGCACCCAGUUCUGUGUCGCUUGGUCCAGUGAGGACUCGAGCCCCUUGGAGGCGGGGCCUCGGGCUGCAGGGGCGGGGCCCCGAGCCGCCUGGGGGUGGGGCCUCAGGCUCUUUGGGGGCGGGGCCUCAAGCUGUCUGGGGACGGAGCCUCCGGCCGGCUGGGGGCGGGGCCUCAUGCCUAAGGGGCGGGGCCUCGAGCUUUCUGGGGGUGGGGUCUCAAGCUUCAGGGUCGGGGCCUGGAGCCGCCUGGGGACGGGGCGAUCUGUUGGGGAGGAGGUUCUCGAACUGCUGAGGAGGAUCGCAGUGCUUUUGCUUCCUCUAGGAGACCAGCUGCACAGGCUGGAACAUGCCAUCUCUAUGCCUGUUUUCCCGUCGAUAAAUCCAGAGACAUUACUCUCAUCAUUUCUUCCUCUGUACACAAUAUUCAUAUAUGUAACCCCUUGGUAAAGCAGUUGUAAGAAUUAAACAAGAGGAAUUGCUCUUUCAUUCAGCAAAUAUUUUUUGAGCAGCUACUAGAUGCCAGGCACUGUUUUAGACGCAAGUGAUACUUCAGGAAACAUAAUCAGAC
rnacentral:lncRNA from 1 species